rnacentral:rRNA from 1 species
CCUACGGGAGGCAGCAGUGAGGAAUAUUGGUCAAUGGGCGGGAGCCUGAACCAGCCAAGCCGCGUGAGGGAAGAAGGUACAGCGUAUCGUAAACCUCUUUUGUCAGGGAACAAAGGCGGGGACUAGUCCCCGGAUGAGGGUACCUGAAGAAAAAGCAUCGGCUAACUCCGUGCCAGCCGCCGCGGUAAUACGGAGGAUGCGAGCGUUAUCCGGAUUUAUUGGGUUUAAAGGGUGCGCAGGCGGCCUGUUAAGUCAGCGGUAAAAGCCCGGGGCUCAACCCCGGCGAGCCGUUGAAACUGGCGGGCUGGAGUUGGAGAGAGGUACGCGGAAUGCGCGGUGUAGCGGUGAAAUGCUUAGAUAUCGCGCAGAACCCCGAUGGCGAAGGCAGCGGACCGGCUCCACACUGACGCUGAGGCACGAAAGCGUGGGUAUCGAACAGGAUUAGAUACCCUAGUAGUC